AGAGUCAACCAAGUUAAUAAUGAACAAACGAUAACGGAACUGUCUGUAUUAUAAAUACCAUGUGCACAUGUGUCUUCUUCUUAAGAGACUUCUAGUUUUUCUUACACGUUCAACAUGUUGGUGCAAAAGAUAAGCUGGACCGUUUUGCUGCUCCUUCUGUGUCAGAACGGAAAGAAUGGAGUAGAAGCAAUAAGGGUAGUGGUCUGUGAAGGAGGAAUUAUGCUUCUCUACUGUACUGUA